rnacentral:rRNA from 1 species
ACGAACGCUGGCGGCGUGCUUAACACAUGCAAGUCGAGCGGUAAGGCCCUUUCGGGGGUACGACGAGCGGCGAACGGGUGAGUAACACGUGGGUGACCUGCCCUCAGCUCUGGGAUAAGCCUGGGAAACCGGGGUCUAAUACUGGAUAUGACUCCAUGACGCAUGUUGUGGGGUGGAAAGCCUUGUGCGGCUGAGGAUGGGCCCGCGGCCUAUCAGCUUGUUGGUGGGGUGAUGGCCUACCAAGGCGACGACGGGUAGCCGGCCUGAGAGGGCGACCGGCCACACUGGGACUGAGACACGGCCCAGACUCCUACGGGAGGCAGCAGUGGGGAAUCUUGCGCAAUGGGCGAAAGCCUGACGCAGCGACGCCGCGUGAGGGAUGACGGCCUGGU